AACGUAAUUCAUCUCUAUAAUAAUAUAUAAAAAUGAAUUGCUGUUCGUUAGUAUCGCUAAAACUCGAGAACGGCUGAACCGAUUUGGCUAAUUUUGGUCUUGAAUUAUUCGUGGAAGUCCAGGGAAGGUUUAAAAGGGUCAAAUAACAUUUUACUAAUGCAAAACUACGUAAUAUUUGAUGAACACAAACAUUAAUUUAAAUGAAAAUUUAGCAAUGCAUGGAACGGAACCGUACAAUUGCCACUGAUGGUCACUCAAUAAACUCCUAUUAAAUAAUGAACGACAAUUAGGUGUUGCCAAAGCUGCAUACCAAGUGAAAUAUGAUUGUAACUUUACCGACCUUUAUUUCCAUAAAAGAUAUUAUGAUUUGA